rnacentral:rRNA from 2 species
CUGAGAGGAUGACCAGCCACACUGGAACUGAGACACGGUCCAGACUCCUACGGGAGGCAGCAGUGGGGAAUAUUGCACAAUGGGCGCAAGCCUGAUGCAGCCAUGCCGCGUGUAUGAAGAAGGCCUUCGGGUUGUAAAGUACUUUCAGCGGGGAGGAAGGGAGUAAAGUUAAUACCUUUGCUCAUUGACGUUACCCGCAGAAGAAGCACCGGCUAACUCCGUGCCAGCAGCCGCGGUAAUACGGAGGGUGCAAGCGUUAAUCGGAAUUACUGGGCGUAAAGCGCACGCAGGCGGUUUGUUAAGUCAGAUGUGAAAUCCCCGGGCUCAACCUGGGAACUGCAUCUGAUACUGGCAAGCUUGAGUCUCGUAGAGGGGGGUAGAAUUCCAGGUGUAGCGGUGAAAUGCGUAGAGAUC